AUUGAACGCUGGCGGCAGGCCUAACACAUGCAAGUCGAGCGGAUGAAGGGAGCUUGCUCCUGGAUUCAGCGGCGGACGGGUGAGUAAUGCCUAGGAAUCUGCCUGGUAGUGGGGGAUAACGUCCGGAAACGGGCGCUAAUACCGCAUACGUCCUGCGGGAGAAAGUGGGGGAUCUUCGGACCUCACGCUCUCAGAUGAGCCUAGGUCGGAUUAGCUAGUUGGUGGGGUAAAGGCCUACCAAGGCGACGAUCCGUAACUGGUCUGAGAGGAUGAUCAGUCACACUGGAACUGAGACACGGUCCAGACUCCUACGGGAGGCAGCAGUGGGGAAUAUUGGACAAUGGGCGAAAGCCUGAUCCAGCCAUGCCGCGUGUGUGAAGAAGGUCUUCGGAUUGUAAAGCACUUUAAGUUGGGAGGAAGGGCAGUAAGUUAAUACCUUGCUGUUUUGACGUUACCAACAGAAUAAGCACCGGCUAACUUCGUG
rnacentral:rRNA from 1 species